UACGAAGGGGGCUAGCGUUGCUCGGAAUCACUGGGCGUAAAGCGCACGUAGGCGGAUUGCUAAGUCAGGGGUGAAAUCCUGGAGCUCAACUCCAGAACUGCCUUUGAUACUGGCGAUCUUGAGUCCGGGAGAGGUGAGUGGAACUGCGAGUGUAGAGGUGAAAUUCGUAGAUAUUCGGAGGAACACCAGUGGCGAAGGCGGCUCACUGGCCCGAUACUGACGCUGAGGCACGAAAGCGUGGGGAGCAAACAGG
rnacentral:rRNA from 1 species